rnacentral:rRNA from 1 species
GACCUGCGGAAGGAUCAUUACUAGAGCAAAGGAUAGACAGCGCCCGCGGAGCUCGCUCCCGGGGCCACCCUACUCCGGUAGGGUUUAGAGUCGUCGGGCCUCUCGGAGAAGCUCGGUCCUGAACUCCACCCUUGAAUAAACUACCUUUGUUGCUUUGGCGGGCCGCCUCGUGCCAGCGGCUUCGGCUGUUGAGUGCCCGCCAGAGGACCACAACUCUUGUUUUUAGUGAUGUCUGAGUACUAUAUAAUAGUUAAAACUUUCAACAACGGAUCUCUUGGUUCUGGCAUCGAUGAAGAACGCAGCGAAAUGCGAUAAGUAAUGUGAAUUGCAGAAUUCAGUGAAUCAUCGAAUCUUUGAACGCACAUUGCGCCCUCUGGUAUUCCGGGGGGCAUGCCUGUUCGAGCGUCAUUAUAACCACUCAAGCUCUCGCUUGGUAUUGGGGUUCGCGGUUUCGCGGCUCCUAAAAUCAGUGGCGGUGCCUAUCGGCUCUACGCGUAGUAAUACUCCUCGCGAUUGAGUCCGGUAGGUCUACUUGCCAGCAACCCCUAAUUUUUUAAGGUUGACCUCGGAUCAGGUAGGGAUACCCGCUGAACUUAAGCAUAUCAAUAAGCGGAGGAAAAGAAACCAACAGGGAUUACCUCAGUAACGGCGAGUGAAGCGGUAACAGCUCAAAUUUGAAAGCUGGCUCUUUUAGGGUCCGCGUUGUAAUUUGUAGAAGAUGCUUCGGGUGUGGCCCCGGUCUAAGUUCCUUGCA